ACGCUCGACACCUACUGGAGGCAGCAGUGGGGAAUAUUGCACAAUGGGGGAAACCCUGAUGCAGCGACGCCGCGUGAGCGAAGAAGUAUUUCGGUAUGUAAAGCUCUAUCAGCAGGGAAGAAAAUGACGGUACCUGACUAAGAAGCCCCGGCUAACUACGUGCCACAGCCGCGGUAAUCUGAGCGGGCUGGCAAGGC
rnacentral:rRNA from 1 species